AUUGAACGCUGGCGGCAGGCCUAACACAUGCAAGUCGAGCGGCCGUAGCAAUACGGCAGCGGCAGACGGGAGAGUAACACGUGGGAACGUACCCUUCAGUUCGGAACAACCCAGGGAAACUUGGGCUAAUACCGGAUACGUCCGUAAGGAGAAAGAUUUAUCGCUGAAGGAUCGGCCCGCGUCUGAUUAGCUAGUUGGUGAGGUAACGGCUCACCAAGGCGACGAUCAGUAGCUGGUCUGAGAGGAUGAUCAGCCUCACUGGGACUGAGACACGGCCCAGACUCCUACGGGAGGCAGCAGUGGGGAAUAUUGGACAAUGGGCGCAAGCCUGAUCCAGCCAUGCCGCGUGGAUGAUGAAGGCCCUAGGGUUGUAAAGUCCUUUCGGCGGGGAAGAUAAUGACGGUACCCGCAGAAGAAGCCCCGGCUAACUUCGUGCCAGCAGCCGCAGUAAAAC
rnacentral:rRNA from 1 species